rnacentral:rRNA from 1 species
GACAGAAGGGGCGCGCGUUGUGCGGAGUCACUGGGCGUAAAGCGCGCGCAGGCGGCAACCUAAGUGUCGUGUGAAAGCCCCCGGCUCAACCGGGGGAGGCCAUGGCAAACUGGGUCGCUCGAGCUGCGGAGAGGCCCCUCGAAUUGCCGGUGUAGCGGUGAAAUGCGUAGAGAUCGGCAGGAAGACCAUGUGGUAAUCCAGGGGGCUGGCCGCAGGUUGAUGAUGAGCCGCGACAGCGUGGGGAGCAAACCGG